rnacentral:rRNA from 1 species
GACGAACGCUGGCGGCGUGCUUAACACAUGCAAGUCGAACGAUGAAGCCGGAGCUUGCUCUGGUGAAUUAGUGGCGAACGGGUGAGUAACACGUGAGUAACCUGCCCUUGACUCUGGGAUAACUGCGGGAAACUGUAGCUAAUACCGGAUACGACCCUCGGAGGCAUCUCCUGGGGGUGGAAAGAAUUUCGGUCAAGGAUGGACUCGCGGCCUAUCAGCCAGUUGGUGAGGUAACGGCUCACCAAGGCGACGACGGGUAGCCGGCCUGAGAGGGUGACCGGCCACACUGGGACUGAGACACGGCCCAGACUCCUACGGGAGGCAGCAGUGGGGAAUAUUGCACAAUAGGCGCAAGCCUGAUGCAGCAACGCCGCGUGAGGGAUGACGGCCUUCGGGUUGUAAACCUCUUUUAGUAGGGAAGAAGCGAAAGUGACGGUACCUGCAGAAAAAGCACCGGCUAACUACGUGCCAGCAGCCGCCGUAA